AUGAACAAGGUAGGUGGAGCGAGUAAUCAUCAACCGAUAAAGCAAGAGCUGCGGGUCCCACGCGGCGGUCUCCGGUUCGUUGUCGCCAGGACCCGACAGCGAGAGGCGAUGCGGAAAUGGAAUGGAAUGGGAGCAAACGCCCUUGGCAAGACCCAGCCUUUGCUCGUCAUCCUCUCUUCAUUGCUUACUCGUCCUCUCAUCAAAGCUGCAGCCUGCAGGAGUAAGCAAGGAAGGGCUAGGGAGAGCAGCGAGGAAAGGAUGGGCAUGCCGCGGGGGCUGUCGGCGUACAUGGUGGACAUGGUGUGGGCGGUGCUCGCCGGGUGGGUGUCGGCGUGCCUGCUGGUCGCCAACGAGAUCGCCCGCGGCAUGCGGGCCGGGGAGAUUGGCCCCUUCGUCGUCGGCUGA
rnacentral:rRNA from 1 species